GAUGAACGCUGGCGGCGUGCCUAAUACAUGCAAGUCGAGCGAACAGACGAGGAGCUUGCUCCUCUGACGUUAGCGGCGGACGGGUGAGUAACACGUGGAUAACCUACCUAUAAGACUGGGAUAACUUCGGGAAACCGGAGCUAAUACCGGAUAAUAUAUUGAACCGCAUGGUUCAAUAGUGAAAGACGGUUUUGCUGUCACUUAUAGAUGGAUCCGCGCCGCAUUAGCUAGUUGGUAAGGUAACGGCUUACCAAGGCAACGAUGCAUAGCCGACCUGAGAGGGUGAUCGGCCACACUGGAACUGAGACACGGUCCAGACUCCUACGGGAGGCAGCAGUAGGGAAUCUUCCGCAAUGGGCGAAAGCUUGACGGAGCAACGCCGCGUGAGUGAUGAAGGUCUUCGGAUCGUAAAACUCUGUUAUUAGGGAAGAACAAAUGUGUAAGUAACUAUGCACGUCUUGACGGUACCUAAUCAGAAAGCCACGGCUAACUACGUG
rnacentral:rRNA from 1 species